UGUGCUUUGACUCUUUCAAGAAAGAUAUGUUUCCAUGAUGACAUUCCAGGAAAACAGGCAUGUCCCGCAAGAGAAUCUUUGUUGUCAUCUUUCAAAGAUUAUUGACGGAACUGCUCACACGAUCACAUUUGCUGACAGGGUACUUUUGGUAAAUAUAUGAUUUCAGCUACUCAGCAAACAGAGUGCACCAAAAAUCAUAUGGAACAUAUGUAACCUGCAAUCACA
rnacentral:lncRNA from 1 species